rnacentral:rRNA from 1 species
UACGUAGGUGGCGAGCGUUGUCCGGAUUUACUGGGCGUAAAGGGAGCGUAGGCGGGUUAUCAAGUUGGAGGUGAAAGCCCAGGGCUCAACCUUGGAAUUGCCUUCAAAACUGAUAGCCUAGAGUAUGAUAGAGGUAUGUGGAACUCCGAGUGUAGAGGUGAAAUUCGUAGAUAUUCGGAAGAACACCAGUGGCGAAGGCGACUUACUGGACACAUAUUGACGCUGAGGUGCGAAAGCGUGGGGAGCAAACAGG